GGUUAAUGAGAAGCUCAGAGACACACCUUUGAAUGUAAAACAGGCAAAUGAGUUCAGCUAUGACAACUACUAUAAAGCUGAUAGGCCAGUGGUCCGUGGUAACGGCAGCAGCAGCACAGUGUGUGUCUCCUCUACACACACUUUGCAUAAUUACACAACUAUUCACAUCUACUUCUUCUUUCCUCCACCGAGCUCCGGGUCAACAUCAACUGGUCGAUGACAGGAGCACCUCUUUGCUUCCAGAGAGCAACAGGGCGCAGACGUCCUAUCCAUGACAACGGGGCGUUGUGAGCAAGCCCCGCCCACUGACAGCUGCCUCAUUGUGUGCUGAGCCUCCGAAGCGGUUUGUUCCUCUUUGCUUGGACAGUUCAAUAACUAAUCUCAAUGCAGCCAGCAGCCUGUGGUUUUGAAAAUGAAGAGGGCAGGCCCGAUGGAAAGUCCUGAUUGGCGUGGCGGUGUUGGGUGUUGUUUGUGUGUGUGUGUGUGUGUGUGUGCGUGCGUGUGUGUGUUGGGUAAUUGGAAGGUUAUAUUGUCAGUUCACAUGAGCGUUCAGGGCCAGGACAGGGAGAACACACCCUGGCUGCACAAAUAGAGUAAGACAACACUGUUAAAGUUCAAAUGGACUUUGGUGUUAAGCUUAUAAUGGGUUUUUAUAAUGGGACGCUUUUCUUUUUAACUGUUAAAAUGUAUUUUGCCAAAAGUUGUGCACAGGCCUGAUGGAUAGUAUUAUUAAACUCGCCUAAUUAAACUGUGAAUAUUUAUCACAUUAAUUACAUUUUUCAUUCAGCCUCCGCAGAAUCCUUUGGUUUGUAAUCAAUAAUGAAAUGUGAGAAAGGGCAGCCGUAGUUUGGUCUCCAUCCUUGAGUUCAUCCAUCCGUCUGUCACAUCUGAGAUCAGUGGGGAUGAUGCAUCAACAAAGAGCACGUCCUCUCUGACAUAACGUGCUGCUUUAUGGACCGCGUUGACCUGUCGAUCCAACGGUUGCUGCCAGUGACAUCACACACCGGCCCCCACGAGCUUUUGGAUCCCGCUGAUGUGACCGCACACGGGCCACGCGAGCAGCCCCCCGCCCCCCCGUCCCCAAACCCUCGCUCCCUCCCUCCGUCACAUGUAAGCUGACGAACAGCAGGCUCGUGUUCUCGAUGGAGGAGCCUUUUGGGCCACAAGAACCAUGUGUACUCACCACUUUCUGCUUGGACACACGCAAACAAUGGGACACGUCUGGAGUGCUUGGGGCCCAGACCCCGAGGAAGGGCAGAUGGUGCCCGGGAUCGAGCACCACAACCCUAUUAACAUGAGAAAAGAGAGGGACAGAGGCGGGGGGGGGGAAGAGGGGACAGGUACCCUCUCUCCUAUUUUCCCCUCUUGCUUAGACGUUAGAGAGGGGGGGCGACUCAUAGUCUGUGGUGCGGAUGUGAAACUCAAUUAGGGGAAAAGCUGUCAAUUCAAGAGCAGACAAUAUUGAAUGUGAGGAUUCUGUUUAUAUUUAAGAGAGUCCCAUCUAUUCUUACUCAUAUUCAAGACCUGCAGCUCCUGACUUAUUUAGAAUGUUUUCAUUUUGCAUGAGAAAAAUUAUUUUCCUACAUAGAUUGAAAGCUAUAUUUUUUAAUACAACGUUAUGGAAAAAAAUGUGAAGAUUUGAAGAUUUAACUGUUUUGUUAUGUGCGUGUCUACUGUUCAUCUGGAUUAUCUUUUAAUUUUUAAUGAAUGAGUCAAAUGAUGGAGCUUUCUUCCAUUCAAUUAUGAUCUUUAUUUGAAAUGUCAGCAAGUGGUUG
ensembl:lncRNA